AUUGAACGCUGGCGGCAGGCCUAACACAUGCAAGUCGAGCGAGCGGCGGUCGGGAGAGUAAUGUAUGGGGACUGCACGAUAGAGGGGGAUAACUACUGGAAACGGUGGCUAAUCCGGCGUACUACCGAGUAGCCCAUCUGGGGUUAGCUAGUAGGUGGGUUAAAGGCUCACCUAGGCGACGAUCUCUAGCUGGGCUGAGAGGAUGAUCAGCCACAUUGUGCGUGAGAAACGGCCCAUGCGCCUACGGAGGCAGAAUUUGGGAAUGUUGCAAAAUUGGGACCGGCCUGAUGCAGCCAUGCAGCGUGUAGGAAGAAGGCCUGAGGUUUGUAAAGUACUUUCAGAGGGUAGGCGUCCCCCUCAAAAGAAUCACCGGCUAACUCCGUGCCAGCCGCCGCGGUAAUAC
rnacentral:rRNA from 1 species